rnacentral:rRNA from 1 species
UACGAAGGGGGCUAGCGUUGCUCGGAAUCACUGGGCGUAAAGCGCACGUAGGCGGAUUGCUAAGUCAGGGGUGAAAUCCUGGAGCUCAACUCCAGAACUGCCCUUGAUACUGGCGGUCUCGAGUCCGGGAGAGGUGAGUGGAACUGCGAGUGUAGAGGUGAAAUUCGUAGAUAUUCGCAAGAACACCAGUGGCGAAGGCGGCUCACUGGCCCGGUACUGACGCUGAGGAGCGAAAGCGUGGGGAGCAAACAGG